CUUCAACGGAGAGUUUGAUCCUGGCUCAGGACGAACGCUGGCGGCGUGCUUAACACAUGCAAGUCGAGCGGUAAGGCCCUUCGGGGUACACGAGCGGCGAACGGGUGAGUAACACGUGGGUGAUCUGCCUCGCACUUCGGGAUAAGCCUGGGAAACUGGGUCUAAUACCGGAUAUGACUUCCAGCUGCAUGGUUGGUGGUGGAAAGAUUUAUCGGUGCGAG
rnacentral:rRNA from 1 species